GAUGAAGAACGUAGCGAAAUGCGAUAAGUAGUGUGAAUUGCAGAAUUCAGUGAAUCAUCGAAUCUUUGAACGCACAUUGCGCCCUUUGGUAUUCCUUAGGGCAUGCCUGUUCGAGCGUCAUUUAAACCUUCAAGCUAAGCUUGGUGUUGGGUGACUGUCCGCUUCACGGCGGACUCGCCUCAAAAUUAUUGGCGGCCGGUACAUUGGCUUCGAGCGCAGCAGAAACGCGAACUCGGGCCCGUCGUAUUGGCUCCCAGCAGCUAUCUUCACAAUUUUGACCUCGGAUCAGGUAGGGAUACCCGCUGAACUUAAGCAUAUCAAUAAGCGGAGGA
rnacentral:misc_RNA from 1 species